CGCGGCAGCGGCGGACUCAGCGCGCCCUUAGAUUUUGCGGCUGCUUUGCCUUGCUUGGCUGAGCGUGUCACGCUGCGCAGCGCUUUCCACUCCGCCUUGUGUCUCUGAUGGGUUUGUGCCGUACGAAAUUCGCCGAGUCUUAGUGGCGGUGGUCCAACGUAGCGAAUCAGCCAAAAAAUAGCAGCCUAUAAACAUCAUCUUUCUUCUCCCCUCAGCCCAAAGUAAACUUCCUGUUUCUUUUCCCGCGCGCGGGAGGCUCCUCCAAUCGGCUGCUGCUACGUCAUCUGGCCCGCCUCCCAACUCCUCUGCCGCGCAACCUAAAACCAUCCCAUGCAGCCUUGGUUCCACUCUGAGGCAGCCUGCACUCUGCUGCAGCUCUUGUGCGCCUGCAGUAAAGGCCGCUUUCUCUCUCUCUGUUUCUCAACUGCACCGAAAAGCCUAACAUUUCCGGUGCCAUUAAUCAGAUAGGCGGGGUGAUAGCUCCUGGGGGUCCCCCGGUUUGAGCUCCCCCUGCCCACAGCCGCGCCGUUUCGCUCUCCCUCUGCUGCGCCGAUCCAAGCCGCCAUCCAGCACCGCCGCCCCUCCGGUUCUCACAGAGUGCACUAGACACUCUCAACAAGUGGUGCCCGAAUCAGGGAACCCGACGGUCGCUUAGGAGAGAACAUGGAAUUCAACAAUGGGUCCCUGGACGAUGGAUCAAGAUCCGCGCCUCGAGGCCCUCUUCGCCAAUCCCGGAGACAACUCCCCCAGGAACCGUAUCCUCCGAGGCAAGCUCGAAACCAGCUAGAGGAUGAAGAUAAUGAACCUGUCCCUGUUUCCGCCAUGGCCAGAUUACAGCUAAGAAAAUCCCGCCUCCAUUCAAGGCGAUCAAAUUUAAACCCUCUCCCUACAUGGGGACAAAUAAAGAAAUUGAUCCAAGAAGGGCAAUGGCUUGUCCUUCAAGCAGGGAAGCCUUUAACCCUAAAAAUUUGUUUUUAGCUUUAUGUGCCUUGCUCACCGUUGCAUCGGGGACUGAGGUACCCCAACAUUCUUACUGGGCUUAUAUUCCAAAUCCCCCUUUACUGGAAGCUGUAGUAUGGGGAACUAUUGAUAUAUCACUAUAUACAACACCAAGGGAAAUUUUGUCAGCACCGUGGGCUGAUUUAACCCCCCAUAAUCAGGAUGAUGGAACAUUGUUCAGUUUUACUUAUUAUGGCAAUCAACGGCCUAUUUGUAUUGAGGAACCACCUUGCAUCCCUCUGGGAUGGCAGUAUUGGAUUCAACAUGGAAUUAAAGCAGGCAGCAAAAGGACAAGGCUUCAAGCUUUGGCUGCUAAAACUUUUAAUGUUACCUGAAAAAAUUUAACAGUGCCUGAUAAAAACACAUAUCCUGUAUGCCCUGAUUUCACUUAUAAUAAUAUUUCUUAUAAUUUCAUAAUUUCGCAACAAUGUAUGGGGAAGUUUGCUAAAAAUAUUGAUGGAUAUAUUAUUUGGGGACCAUUUGGGAAAUUUGUUAAUGGAUGUGCUAAAUAGAAUGAGACAAGAUGUAAUCUCUCUGUUAUAUAUAGUCUUCCAGAUCCGAAGAACAUAACUGAUGGAGCUCCCGUCUUCCCUCAAAAGACACAUCUCCUGUAGUGGGGAGACGGUGGAAUCGACAAUCCUGCUGUUGCAGCUGAAGAGUACCCUCAUAAUCUCCAAAGUCACAUUUGGAAGAUUCCAGACACUAUGCAACCUGUAACCUUGUACAAUGUUUCCUAUUCAGGAACUAGUCAAUCUGUAUCUACUACUUAUAAUUUUACUAAGUUUAUGAUUUAUAAUAUUACUGUUUGUGCACCUCUGCCUUAUGUCUUUUUAGUGGAAACUUUUAAUUUUACACAUUUUUCUUGUACUUGUUUAAAUUGUCAGUUGUUUACCUGUUUAAAUAGCACAUUAAGUUUCACUAAACCUUAUACAGUUAUGCUUUUACAACAAAAAAACUCGUAUUUGGUUACCUAUAAAUCUUACUCGACCAUGGUCUUAAGACCCAGUAAUUUCUGUUACUACUGAAUUUUUUCAACAUCUAUUAAAACGUACAAAAAGUUUUAUUGAAAUAGUGGUCGCUGUAUUGUUGAGUCUGAUAACUGUGGCGUCUUUGGCAGCAGUCUCGAGAAUAGCUUUACAAACCUCUUUACAAGCAAAACAUGUUGUGGAACAAUGGCAUGAGAAUUCUCAUGAACUUUGGUUAACCCAAUGGCAAAUAAAUGCUAAACUACAACAGCAAAUAGACCUUCUUAAACAAACAGUUGAAUGGAUGGGAAGGAAAAUAUUGGCUCUUCAGCAUCAAGUGUUUUUAAAAUGUGAUUGGAAUUCAACUCCUUUCUGUAUAACACAACGACCAUAUAAUCAAACGAAACAUGAAUGGGAAAUGAUUAAAAUGUAUCUAAAUGGAAACACUUCUGCCCAGGAGGAAAUAGAAUCUUUGCAUAAUCAAAUUGACAGAGAUUUUGCAAAGCAUAAUGAUGAUGAAUCCCUGGCACAAUUUGCUCAAUUGCUUGCUCAUUCCUUGGAAGGGCUGGACCCUAAAGGAAUUUGGCAAAGCUUUACCCACACUUUAAGCGGCAUGGGACUUAGCUUGAUUAUAGCUCUCAUUGCCAUAGUUAUUGUGUGUUUUUACUGCAUAAGACGAAAUGCUACAAAUAAUCUGGUCUUAUAAAAAUUGUUCUUAAAAAAUAAAAAGGAAGGAAGUGUGGAGGAUGAGGAGUCACUUUGAAGGCCCUGGCCCCUUCAUGUCCUGCAGUAAACAAGAGUCCCCGGUAUGCGAGACAGAGGCAGGACAGGAAUGCCUGUUCUCAGUGGGAUCUUCUCACCCUCUUAAAACCAUACUGUGUGACCUGGCUUUGUUUUGCAGUCAUGAGGAAGUGGCCGGCCACCCUUUGUGACACUAGCAACAAACAUAAUUAACAACAUUCUUGGGCUAAUAAAUUUCCUCCUGGGCUAGAGGAGCUAGGAGAACUGAUUGUGCUUGUUUACUUCACUUAGAUAAUUUAAAAUAAACAUUGUAGUCUGUCACAUUGUAGCUUGUCACAAAGAAUGCUUUUUCACUACUUAAUUGUCUGUGCUCUGUGAAUUGAUCCGGUUUACUAUAUAAGAAUCUUAAAAUAAAGAUUGUACGUGCAGUGCAGUGCAGCCAGUAGCAA